rnacentral:tRNA from 2 species
ACAGUCGUGGCCGAGAGGUUAAGGCGAUGGACUAGAGAUCCACUGGGGUCUCCCCGCACAGGUUCGAAUCCUGUUGACUGCG